GGAGAGUUGGCAGAGCGGUAAUGCACCUGCUUGGAAAGCAGGAGUCAGGGUAAAACCUGCGGGGGUUCAAAUCCCUCACUCUCCGCCA
rnacentral:tRNA from 1 species